AUUGUACGCUGGCGGCAGGCUUAACACAUGCAAGUCGAGCGGAGCGAGGGUGCUUGCACCUUAGCUUAGCGGCGGACGGGUGAGUAAUGCUUAGGAAUCUGCCUAUUAGUGGGGGACAACAUUCCGAAAGGGAUGCUAAUACCGCAUACGCCCUACGGGGGAAAGCAGGGGAUCUUCGGACCCUGCGCUAAUAGAUGAGCCUAAGUCGGAUUAGCUAGUUGGUGGGGUAAAGGCCUACCAAGGCGACGAUCUGUAGCGGGUCUGAGAGGAUGAUCCGCCACACUGGGACUGAGACACGGCCCAGACUCCUACGGGAGGCAGCAGUGGGGAAUAUUGGACAAUGGGGGGAACCCUGAUCCAGCCAUGCCGCGUGUGUGAAGAAGGCCUUUUGGUUGUAAAGCACUUUAAGCGAGGAGGAGGCGCUCUAGGCUAAUACCCUAGAUGCGUGGACGUUACUCGCAGAAUAAGCACCGGCUAACUCUGUGCCAGCCGCCGCAGUAAUAC
rnacentral:rRNA from 1 species